AGGGCACCACCAGGAGUGGAGCCUGCGGCUUAAUUUGACUCAACGCGGGGAAACUUACCCGGCCCGGACACCGUAAGGAUUGACAGAUUGAGAGCUCUUUCUUGAUUCGGUGGGUGGUGGUGCAUGGCCGUUCUUAGUUGGUGGAGCGGUUUGUCUGGUUAAUUCCGAUAACGAACGAGACUCUAGCCUAUUAAAUAGUCGGUAAAUCCUUUGUUUACUGUACUUCUUAGAGGGACAGAAGGCGUCUAGCCUUACGAGAUUGAGCAAUAACAGGUCUGUGAUGCCCUUAGAUGUUCGGGGCUGCACGCGCGCUACACUGAGGGAUUCAACGUGAUUUUUCACCUGUUCUGGAAAGAAUGGGUAACCCGUUGAAACUCCUUCGUGAUUGGGAUAGGGGCUUGUAAUUAUUCCCCUUGAACGAGGAAUUCCUAGUAAGUGCGGGUCAUCAUCUCGCGUUGAUUACGUCCCUGCCCUUUGUACACACCGCCCGUCGCUACUACCGAUUGGAUGAUUUAGUGA
rnacentral:rRNA from 1 species